rnacentral:rRNA from 1 species
UACGUAGGGCGCAAGCGUUGUCCGGAAUUAUUGGGCGUAAAGAGCUCGUAGGCGGCUUGUCACGUCGAUUGUGAAAGCCCGAGGCUUAACCUCGGGUCUGCAGUCGAUACGGGCUAGCUAGAGUGUGGUAGGGGAGAUCGGAAUUCCUGGUGUAGCGGUGAAAUGCGCAGAUAUCAGGAGGAACACCGGUGGCGAAGGCGGAUCUCUGGGCCAUUACUGACGCUGAGGAGCGAAAGCGUGGGGAG